ensembl:lncRNA
CCCAACAUAUAAAGCCCAUGAGAUUGGACAGGGCACAAAGCCACAGUCAUAAAAGGGAGCUAGUGAGGAGAGAUAGGAUUCAUUAAUUAAUCGUUAGGGCACAUGGUUUACAUUAGAAGGGGAGAAUAAAUUCUCAAUUCAAUUUUAUAUGAAAAUAAUCUCAGAUGAAUAAAGAACUUAUCUGGAAUUAAUGUAAAAAAUAAUAUAAAAAAAGUUAUAGAAGAGAGAGAGAAAUAGUAGAAAGCAUUGGAACUCCGGAGAGCAGAGAUUUUUGCCCGUUUUGUUUACUGCUAUAUUUCCAGGAUCUAAAGUAGCGCCUACCACAUAGUAAGUGCUCAAUAAAUUUAUUGAAAGGAUGAAUGAAUGAAUGAAUGAAUGAAUGAAUCUUUCCCUUCAUCAGUUUUCUGGUUAUAUCUUUGUCAUACUUUCUACUAGGAGUUUUUUCCUUAGUUAUUAUGAUUUUUAAUCUCUUUUCACUUUUUUGCAUAUUGAGGAUAACUGUACAUUACAUUUACUGCAAAUAGUUCCCCAAAUUUGUCUUUUGCUUUUUCAUUUAUUUGAAGUAUUCGCAUACCACAAAACACAACUUAUUUAGUUGAGAUCAGUCAUUUCUCCUUUAUAACUUCUUCUGAUUAUUAUCUACAGAAAAUCAUUCCCAAUUCCAAAUUGCUAAUGCAGCUGAGACCACUGUCAGAGGUCUAGUCCAAGUUAUUUCCACUGCAGGGCUGGUCCAUCCUCUCCCAAGGGCUGGGGAGCUGCUCCAAAGGCAUCUGAUCCAGAGGGUUUCCUAUCCCAACCAGACUCAUCAAACCCCCAAAGCGCCCCUUCCAGUAUACUCUUUUGCAUAACCACACGGUGAGGUCAUAUGUUUAGGACACCAUUGUUCCAUCACCAUGGAGAUGACGAGAUGUCAAAGCACUGGCAAGAAGCCUCCCAUGCAGGAUGAAGCCAAGGAAGAAGAUGAAGAAAAGAGAGGAAGGACCUGCACAUUAGCCAGAGGACUCAAAACAUCCCAAGAAGCUCAUGAGGUCAUCCUCAUUCACAUAGUUUCCCAGGUGUCAGAUCUGUUUCGAAAGCACAUAACCUUCCAGUCCAGCCCAGCAUGUAGCCACAGUCCACAGGCAGCACCUAAAACUCGGAAGAGCUUGCGAGAGGCAGUGACUACAGUGGAAAGUGCACAGAGCAGAGAAGAAGACUGGGCUCCAGACCAGCUGUGGCCCUCGAGCUGCCUGCCUUCAGCCCUUGCUUCUCCAUUAGCUCUGCUCCAGUCAAGCCACAGGCUGAAGGACUCAAGCAUGACUUCACACGCUUCAUUCUGCAGGAUGUUUCUUCAAGACUUGUCACAGGUGACUAUUCACCUCUUCUUGACAUACCUGUUAUGGGUUGAACCGUGUCCUUCCCAUUAGUAUGUUGAAGUCCUAACCCCCAGUCCCUCAGAAUGUGACUAUAUUUGGAAAUAGGGUGGUUGCAAAGGUAAUUAGUUAAAAUGAGGUCACAGUGGAAUAGGGUGGGCCCUAACCCAAUAUGACUGGUGUCCUUAUGAAAAGGGGAAAUUUAGGGAUAGGCAUGCGCACAGGGAGGACACCAUGUGGAGAUGAAGGCAGAGAUCAGGUGAUGUUUCUACAAGCCAAAGAAGGCCAGAGAUUGCCAGCAAACCACCAGCAGCCAGGGAAGAGGCAUGGAAUGAAUUCUUCCUUCAACCUUUAGAAGGAAGCAACCAGACUUCUGGACUUCAGAACUGUGAGACAAUAAAAUACUUGUGCUGUGUAAGCCA